CCAAAUCUGGCAAAAUAAAGCCAGAUUUGCCUAUAACCCGAACUGAGUCCGACCCACCUUCAACCCAAAUAUAAUGACCAGAGGCUCUCGGGCUCCCCUGGGAUUUUCCAAGUAAGCGUCGUGCAAGAGCGGUGCCGAUGAGGAGGCUUCUAGAGAUUGGGCCACCGAACCCGCUGAGGUAUUUGAUCGGGGCGAUGGUCAUGAUGGUGGGAAUUGUUUUGCCUGUCGGAUACAUGAUGUUCAGGAACAAGCGCAUCCCGUCGUCGUCGGCCUACUCGAAGCAGACGGGAAAAACUUGAUGUAACAGUUCAAUUUGGAAGCGCAUAGUUGGAAAUUAGGAACCAAUGACUGCUCGAAGAACAUGCAUGUUAUUAAUUAGUUUUUUGAUUUGGUUCAAUGGUGACAACCAAUGUGAAAAUGGAAUUUUCGGGAUGGCCAGGCAAUAAAAUUUUGAUGGAUCUCACAAA